CUGGCCUGCUCCCAAAUGAACUCAAUUGUAAAAUUCCCUCAUGCUGAAUUUGGACUUUUUUCAUGGAUGAAAACUUCACGUGGAGGAGGAAACCUUCAGUGCUGGGCAGAAGGAAGCCUGUGGGGAGAGGCAGAACCAGCUUUGCAUGGGAACAACUCAUCCAAGGAGAGGAUCCAAAGGAGCAGGGAAUGCUGGUUUUAAUCUGCUUCCAUGGGCUGAAAUGACUCCUGUGUUCAAGCUGGCAUUACCGACAGGGAUACAACUGCAGUUUGGGUAUCAGCUCUCUGGGACCUGCAACCUGCCUGGCAAGGAAACAUCAUCAGCCCUCUUAUCUGCUCCUUGCCUGAAUUCUGCCUGGAUUUCUGACUGGUGAGGCUUAUUGGAAGCAGCAUCCCUGUGAGCAGGAGAGCAGCUGCUCU
rnacentral:lncRNA from 1 species